rfam:Myotis brandtii contig274952, whole genome shotgun sequence.
GGCAGCCAGACAGUUUUGCUUGGAUCUGUGGGGCGGCCGCGUGGCCAUACGUUCAACGCUCUGAGACAUCGGUGCCGGGACCCAGCCAGAAAGUGACUUACAGCCCCGAGCAGGAGCUGGAGGCCUCUGCUCUGGGAGGCCCCUCAGAGUAAACAGUGAGAUUUCUGGGAAACAUACCUAAGGCCAGACUGUCGGGAAAGG